rnacentral:lncRNA from 1 species
UUCAGAGCUCUACAGUUCUUUAUGAAAGAAUUAAAGGCAUACAAUGCGUACGAAGAAAGUUUCUGAGAGACCUACUGGAAAAUGAACAUGUAGAACUAAGAGCAGUGGAACAGAAUCUUUAUGUACCUCAGUCCAACUAAAAAGAAAUCUGGAAAAUGCAAUUGAAUAAAAAAACCUUAUAAAACUAAAUUGUUGCA